ACUCGUACCUAAACGGUCCCUUAACGUGUGUUGAAAACCUAUGCCACACUCUCAGGAAAAGCUCGAACGACCUUGAACAAAAGGGUACCUGUACCCAAAACCAACACAGGUGGGUAGGUAAAGAAUACCUAAGGGCACGAGACAACUCUCUAAGGAACUCGACAAAAUAGCUUCGUAACUUCGGGAGAAGGGGUGCCUCUUCACAAAAGGGGUCGCAAUGACCACGCUCGGAUGACUGUUUACUAAAAACACAGGUCUCCGCAAAGUCGUAAGUCCAUGUAUGGGGGCUGACGCCUAUUCCACUAUUUCUGAACAACUCGGAGCAGGGCCUUCUUUUCG
rnacentral:ncRNA from 1 species